rnacentral:lncRNA from 1 species
ACUAUUUAUGACCAAGCCUCACUUCUUUUCUAUUACAGUUACAGAUUCUUUUUUAGUCUGGAAGUUAGGGUAAAUAAAAUUUGUAUGUUUGAUUUUUCUCUUAGGAAUGUUUUCUCAUCUUAACUCUUAUGUUAUCUUUAUGGCCAACAGAUUUGCUCAGAAUAUAUCAUCAAAAUAUAUGUAUUGUAUUUUGUAAAGGUGAAAGGAUCGAAAUACCACUUUGACAGUUAUAAACCAGAGUAGAUUUGAGAACUGAUUGCUCACAUCACACUUACGAAUAGUCUCAGAAGCCUUUAAGAGAAACUUACUUCUCAAUGGACACUUAGAAGAAUUUGAUGAUCUUACUGUCAUAAAAUCAGUAAUGAAAUUCUCAGCAAAACUAUUUGGUAAACAUUGCACCCUGUAUUUUUACCCAACAUCUUGUUAUGAAAAUUAUCAAAUACAUUAAAAAGUUAAAAUAAUUUUAUAGUGUACUCACUACCUAGAUGCUAAUUAGCAUUACCUAUGCUUGCUUUGUCACAUAUCCAUUCAUCAUUUCAUAUUAUUAUUUGAUGCAUUUUAAAUUGCAUAUCAUUAACUAGAGUUCAUUGUUGGCUUUUUUACAUAAAAUUAGCAUGCAAUGAAGUGCAUAGAAAUAUGUGUUCACUGAGGUUUGGCAAAUGCAUAUAGUGCUAUGGAAAUAGGAAACGUUAUCACCACCCUAGAAAGUUUCCACACUGCCCUUUCCAGUCAAUUCCUGUCCCUACUUGACCCUCAAAGGCAACCACUGUUCCUUUUUCUACCAUAAGAUUUUUCUGUUCUAAAACUUUAUAUAAAUAGAGUCACGCAACAUGUACGCUUUUCUACAAGGCUUCAUUUUUUUAUUGCUGUUCUUUUUUAUUGCUGAGUAGUAUUCCACUGUAUGACAAUAUUACAGUUUGUUUUCUUAAUUUCCUAUUAUUGAUAGAUACCUGGGCUGUUUCCAGGAUUGGCCAUUAUAAAUAAAGCUGCUAUGACCAUUCUUACGUAAGUCUUUGUGAACAUAGGUUUUCAUUUCUUUGCAGUAAAUUCCUUGGAUUAGAAUUGCUGGGUCACAGGGUAGUUUUAAAAGAAACUGCCAUACCUUUUUCCAGUUCAGUUUUAUUGUGCCCUGUAUUUUGUAUUUUGAUGUGCAUAAAGGUGUAAACUAUUUUUAUGAUCCAUAUUGAAGUAUUAGAAGAAGUGAGUUUGGAAUAACAAUGGCAUUGUUCAUGGUCAAGGAUGACAAUUGGAACUAUCUGAGGAAAGCAAAGACCUGUCUGCCCCAGACAGCUCCUCAAGGGGUUCCUAUGCCUGAAACUUUAGCAAUAUUUCACUCCUUGAAAGGUUAAAGCCCAACCAUGGUGAUAUGUUAGCUAGAAGAAACAGCACUGGUUUGUUUAUGUUACUAACUUUCACCACCCGUUUUCAGUAGGUAAAGUAAGACUGAUCAUUGAACAGAAAAGGUUAUUUCUGUGAUGAGGUUGAGGGGGUAGUGGAAAGCAUGUAUUGCUAGUAAGCCCCAGGUACAGCUAUGUGAGAGAGAGUCACCUGGACAGGGAAGUCCCCCAAAUGGUGGCCAGAAGAGCAGAAAACGGGGUGGGAAAAAUUCUACCUCACAGUUUUGCAUAGGGGAUAGCUAUGCUUUUACGGGACAUUUUAGCGUUUAAAAAUAUUUUCAAUAUUGUCUCUUUAUUCAAUACCACCCAGCUGUAGUUUUUUCACACUCUGAUGACUCUCUUAUCCACUCUUUUACCUCUCCCAGCUGUUCUAUUACAUACAGCAUUCACCUGUAUUAGUCUAUAGAAUUAUAAUCAUCUGUGUGUUUCUAAUGCUCAUUUUCAAAAAUAUGUAUGGUUUAUUCGAUUUUUCCUAUUAAAAUUUUAAGGGCUGGGAAAUUUGGCUUCUACUGUAAAUCCUUAUAAUGUUCCACACAUUGUAAAUAUGCAAUAAAAAUGUUAACAACUAUAAUGGCAGCAGGUUUUGGUAUGUAUUUCUUUGAUAUAUUGUCACUUUGGACAAUAAGUUUGAUUUCUGUUAAUAAAAGUUGUUCAUAAAAUCUAGGGAGAAUUAAGUCACACUGGUCUCUAUAAGAUAAUCUGAUGAAUUCUGCAUCUUUGAAUCAAUUUGAGUUAUUUUUUGUAAAGGUUUAAAUUGUUUCUAACAGUGUUACCUAAAACCUUUCAUUAAAUCAAAAAUGUAACUUGU